rnacentral:rRNA from 1 species
UACAGAGGUGGCAAGCGUUGUUCGGAAUUACUGGGCGUAAAGGGCGCGUAGGCGGCCUUCUAAGUCAGACGUGAAAUCCCCCGGCUUAACCUGGGAACUGCGUCUGAUACUGGAGGGCUUGAGUGCAGAAGGGGCAACUGGAAUUCUCGGUGUAGCGGUGAAAUGCGUAGAUAUCGAGAGGAACACCUGCGGCGAAGGCGGGUUGCUGGGCUGACACUGACGCUGAGGCGCGAAAGCUAGGGGAGCGAACGGG